UUUGGUCCCUUGCAAAUUGGAGAAUUAACCCACAGUCAUUUACCUCACUUUGGUGCGAGACGAGAGCUAGGGUUCCGCCGCCAGCAAUCCCUUUCUCUUCCUCCCGGGCGGCCGCCGCCGACUCCAUCACUCCACCACGUGCGUCGGCGCCACCACCUUGCUCGCGCGGCCGUACGUGCGGGAGGCCAUCCGAGUUGCGCCUGUGCCUCGGGGAAGGGUCACCGCCGCCAGAUCAGAUCGAGGAGGAGUAGCUCCACGGGAACGACGCCGUAGGCAGCCCCUACGAAAUCCGCCGCUGCGACACAGACCAGACCGAGGAGGAGGUCUUCAACGCAGGGCCCCGGGUACCCAUCCCCGUCCCUCCUCCUCCUCCACAUCGCCGUCACCAUCCCAGGCACCCGAAAAUAUGCAUCUUCCCCGAGCUGAAGCCGCUUGCCACCGCUCAGGCUUGCUGCUGCUGCCGGCUAGAAACGGCCACCAGCUCUGGGGCCAUUUUCACGUCGGCGCCGGCGACCUCGUCUGCAUCCACCGGCCCGCUUGCUGUGGAGCUCCAGUGAUUCAAAUAAUUGCAAGCUCGCAGUGGUGAAUCAAUACUCACGAACAAGCCAGUGAUCAGAUGUAUCGCGAGUUGCUGACAGUUUUUGCUCUGUGGAGUGAGCUUUUCUCCGUGCCAAUCAUGCAUCAAAGUUAUAGCACAACUCGUUGACACAUCCCCGGAUUGCAAAAGUAGUUUGCUCAUAUUCUGAUGAUGGAGAAAGUGAGGAGGAUACUGAAGUGGUUGAGAGAGAAGAUGAAGCACGCCCGAGCAUGGGCGGCAUGGCGGCCGGGUUUUUGUCGCCGGAGGAGCUAUGGUAACGCGAUGGAGCUGCCGGUGAGACCUCGAGAGUCAAGACGCAGGGAGCAGGUCUCCCCUCCCUGCUGCCUCUGGCCGCGGUGGCGAGGCAUGACACAGGUUCCUCUGGCGACGGUUCCCUGCUAACCAGGCAGGUGAAUGAGGUAUUAGAAAAAUAUGGAACUGAGCUGAUUUAUUUUGUGUAGGUAUCAUAACUUUUGGCCUACUUGAACCUCAACUUUUCUAUUGGAGGAAGUACAUCACUUCAUUCAGAGAACUCUUCGAUUUCAGAGAAGAAUAUUUUGGAACACAUGUCAAAGAAGAAUAUAUAUACUCAUAUUGUCACAGGGUAUACUCCUAAUCUGGUUUGCUAUUUGGUCAUGCCUUGGAUUGUCUGAUCGGUCUGAACCUCCAUAGACAAAGCAUCACUAUAUGUUUUGGAUGGUGCACUAUAAUUUCCAGAAACUCAGUCUCCUUUGGUUCUCAUCAUAACCUUUUUUAAUCUCGAUCUGGUAUUUGUUGCUUAUAUAUAUUGUAGGGUAGAGCAAAGUCUUUGUUUGCACCCUUCUAUUAUAUCGAAAGGUUGAUUUUCCUCUUUGGCAGCUCAAUGAUCUUAUCUAAGCUCCUUAACAGGGAUAAGUUAUUUCUAACUUUCUAUUUCUAUUUCCUUUUGAGUGCAAAGUCAAACCAAUUAUGAUAUCUUUGUUGAACUCUGAAUUGGAGCAAGAUGACACCAUUGUGGAUAUAUACUGUGCAAACACAUAUUUAUUGUAUGAUGUUCCAUUAUACUAACUGAUGUUCCAUCUACUUUCAGUUUCAUGAGACGAUGUUCAAUGCAAAAACACUUGUGGAGUAGCUGCAGCACUUGAACCAUGCUAUUAUGGUGCUUCACCUUCGUCUUCCCUUUAUAUGUUUGUAUCCAUUUUUGCGCUAGACAUUGUCAUGGGAGCAUGCGAAUUGGGCUGGUUUAUGAAUGAGCAUGGAUGGGAAGAUGCUUUUAGUCAAUAGAGAACUUGUGUUACCCCAGACCAAGCUCAAGUAUGGGGAUAGAGUUGAAGUAAGGUUUUCUUCACAUAUUACCCGAGAUAAUUUACAAGUUGGCUACUACUCGUGAGCUUGUACAUAAUGAGACCUUGUGGUAGGAACUUGUGCUGUAAAUAUGAGUUUUGAUGCAAUAAAUUCAAGUUUGAAUCAAA